AUACGACCAUACCCACUGGAGAAGUCGGGAUCCCGUCCGCUCUCCCAUAGAUAAGCCAGUGAGGGCCGGAUUAGUAGUUGGGUCGGUGACGACCAGCGAAUACCUGGUGUUGUAUG
rnacentral:rRNA from 1 species